CCUACGGGUGGCAGCAGUGGGGGAUAUUGCACAAUGGGGGGAACCCUGAUGCAGCGACGCCGCGUGGGUGAAGGAGGGUUUCGGGGCGUAAAGCCCUAUCGGCAGGGAAGAAGAUGACGGUACCUGACCAAGAAGCCCCGGCUAACGACGUGCCAGCGGCCGCGGUAAUACGUAGGGGGCAAGCGUUCUCCGGAUUUAAUGGGUGUAAAGGGGGUGGAGACGGGCAAGCAAGCCAGGAGUGAAAGGCCGGGGCCCAACCUCAGGACUGCAGUUGGUACUGGAUGGGUGGAGUACAGGAGGGGCAGGCGGAAUUCCUAGUGUAGCGGUGAAAUGCGUAGAUAUGAGGAGGAACACCGGUGGCGAAGGCGGCCUGCUGGACUGUGACUGACGUUGAGGCCCGAAGGCGUGGGGAUCAAACAGGAUUAGAUACCCUUGUAGUC
rnacentral:rRNA from 1 species